GCCGGGCAUGGUGGCGGGUGCCUGUAGUCCCAGCUACUCGGGAGGCUGAGGCGGGAGAAUGGCUUGAACCCGGGAGGCGGAGCUUGCAGUGAGCUGAGAUCGUGCCAUUGCAAUCCAGCCUGGGCAACAGAGCCAGAAUCCGUCUCAA
ensembl:misc_RNA Metazoa_SRP Metazoan signal recognition particle RNA